rnacentral:misc_RNA from 1 species
GGGACGUUCGCGGAGUCCGUGCCUUCCGUACCACCACAAGACUGGUCGUUCUUGGUCGAAUCCCGCCCAUAAGGGAUAGGAGGAAGGUGGCCGGGCCUAUUAUAUCAAAUAUAUCAAAAGGUUUGUAGAAAGAGAACCCGGCCACCUAUUUCAUUCGACGUUCGGAGGCAGGGGCCCGCCCGAUUCGACCGACUUUUGGAUAACAAGAAGGCGAGCUGAUCU